CAGAAGCAGAAGUCAAGCUCUACUUUAACAGUUUCAUUGAUAAUGGAGGAACGACUAAUUUCUUGAAACCCAACAUAAACUGCAACUCAAGUUCAUGGGUAUCUGGAUGUGAGCCAGGAUGGGCAAGCAGAGUUAGUACAGAUGCAAACGUGGAUGAUCAAGAAUCUGAAUAUUUGCCUCCUAGAACUCUUGACAGUCAACCUUGUUGUGCGGGCUUUUUUUGCCCUUAUGGUCUUACUUGCAUGAUACCUUGUCCCCUAGGUGCAUAUUGCCCAAUUGCAACACUCAACAGAACUACAGGACGUUGUGAUCCAUACAAUUACCAGCUACCCCCAGGGAAAACAAAUCAUGCUUGUGGUAGCGCAGAUAUUUGGGCUGAUGUUGAUCAUAGUGGUGAUCUAUUCUGCCCUGCAGGAUACUACUGUCCAAGCACAAUUCAGAAAAUUAAUUGCAGUAGUGGGUACUGUUCACACCCUACCUGCUGGAUACCUUCUAGUUUUAAUUCUACGC